rnacentral:misc_RNA from 1 species
UAGCAGAUUUGCAAAAGGCCGCCAGCUGCGAUUGUAAGUACUUGUAUAUAACUAUAACUUUGCAAUUUCUUGAUUUAAUUAUCGAUAGCAUGAUGCUGGUUGUGUGGAUAUCUGUUUGUUUUCCAAACUCUUCUCCGCACAAAGCCAGGCCAGAGUGUUCCAGGUUUUUUAGCAAAGGUCCACUUGCCUUCAACAGUGGAAAUACGCGGUGCUUUUGCAGUAAAAUCUAACUUCCGUUUUCAUUGAAUUAAUUUCUAAAGGAGGCAUAAAAGCUGGAAAUGUUGUCUAUACUCUAAGCUUGUCUGAAAAUUUUGCAGGAUUUUGAGAAAUAAUGUUAAGUGUUUAUGCAUGGGAGGGAUUAUUGCACAUUGUUCAUUCCUGAGGUUUAGUAUCUAAUAUGAUGAACAGUGCAAAUGUUGUAACAUGGUAUCCUCUCAAAAGAGUUGUAGUGCGUAUAGUGAAUGCAUUUUUCAUGUAGAUAUGUUUGUGCUUAUGACCAUAUCUUGCAACUCAUUACAUGUUCUGUGAUGCAAUGUAAUCUUUGUUUUGUAUUUGGUACAGUCUUGCAAAUGUUGAUCCAAU